AGUGAACGCUGGCGGUAGGCCUAACACAUGCAAGUCGAACGGCAGCACAGUAAGAGCUUGCUCUUACGGGUGGCGAGUGGCGGACGGGUGAGGAAUACAUCGGAAUCUACUUUUUCGUGGGGGAUAACGUAGGGAAACUUACGCUAAUACCGCAUACGACCUACGGGUGAAAGCAGGGGAUCUUCGGACCUUGCGCGAUUGAAUGAGCCGAUGUCGGAUUAGCUAGUUGGCGGGGUAAAGGCCCACCAAGGCGACGAUCCGUAGCUGGUCUGAGAGGAUGAGCAGCCACACUGGAACUGAGACACGGUCCAGACUCCUACGGGAGGCAGCAGUGGGGAAUAUAGGACAAUGGGCGCAAGCCUGAUCCAGCCAUACCGCGUGGGUGAAGAAGGCCUUCGGGUUGUAAAGCCCUUUUGUUGGGAAAGAAAAGCAGCAGGUUAAUACCCCGCUGUUCUGACGGUACCCAAAGAAUAAGCACCGGCUAACUUCGUG
rnacentral:rRNA from 1 species